UUUCAAUUCCUCUUGGUUAGCAAUAGCGUAAGGUACCUGUUAAGAGCAACAUUUCUAUGUUUGGUUGAAGGAAGGAAAUUAGGAGAAGACUGAAAUGUAGCUGUAGGGAAUGAAUUAUGGGUUUCCUUCUUCUUGUCAAAGUAGAAGAGAGAGGGAAAUAGGAAGGGAAUGGGUAUUAUGUCGUUAUAGGAUUAUAAUUUUUGUUUGGUACAUCAGAGGCCGUAGCCUUAGGGAGGUUUGAGUCUUGCCCUCCUAGUGAGGGGCAAGGGUUCUAGGCAACUGGGCUAGCCCUAGCCGGCUAGGAUUAUACCCUCAUUUUAUAAAACAUAAACCAACUUUUGGCAGACAAGAUUACAAUUUUGGUUUAUAGAAAGGUAUAUGAACUUCUAUUUGAUGCUGCCAGGCAUAUUGACUUUUCUAGGAAACUAUCAUUUUUGUUCUGAACAUUAGCAUGUAACAAGCAAAUAUAACUAAUUGGUGUUGAAGAAAUUCUUAGGGUAAAUUACACUGAUUACUUAAAGUAAUCGAAACUUACUAAAAGGGAGGUUAAAAGUAAACUUACUUUAACUUUCCUCUUGUAACCUUACUUAACGUAAUCGAAACUAAUGCAAAUGGUUUGUAGACAUAGGGAUAAGCAAAGAUAAAAUAUGCAUUUUACUAUAAAAAGAUGAAAAUAUCAUUAAUUUGUUCAUACAACUUCCGAAUUAUUGAUGAAAAGGGGAGUACGUGUUAUGUGAAUCAAAAA